UACGUAGGGACCGAGCGUUGUCCGGAUUCAUUGGGCGUAAAGAGCUUGUAGGCGGCCACUCAAGUCGAAUGUGAAACCUCGAGGCUUAACCUCGAGCCUGCAUUCGAUACUGGGCGGCUAGAGUCUGGUAGGGGGAGUCUGGAAUUCCUGGUGUAGCGGUGGAAUGCGCAGAUAUCAGGAGGAACACCGGUGGCGAAGGCGGUUCUCUGGGCCUUACCUGACACUGAGGAGCGAAAGCGUGGGGAGCGAACAGG
rnacentral:rRNA from 1 species